CCUCCCGCACUCGCGCAGCCGCCUCCGCUCGCCCAACCCUCUCCCCGACCUCUCCCUCCCGUGCUAGAACCCCCGCCUCUCUCUCACACACACUCCCUGCAAACCCUAGAACCUCACCCGCGCCUCCCAGCCCCGCCGUUGUCGUCUUCUCGCCCAGCCGGCCGCCGUCGCACCGCACGCUCGUGCGUAGGGGCGAGAAGGGGAACCACCGCCCGCUCCUCGAGCGCGAGGAGGACGUGGUGAUGCAGCGCCCAGAUCCACGGCGGGAUCGACGCGCCGUCGUUAACAUGAGCCGCCACUGUCCUCGAGGUCGGCCAUGGAGGGGGGUCCGACCCAGCUGCAGCCGUGGACGGAGACACCCCAAACCCUAGCAUGGGGACCGAGCCGCCAUGGAAGGAGGCCAGCGGCGAGGACGACGCCAUGGUCCCUGUUGUGCUCCCGGAUCCGUCGCCCAUCUGCCCUGACCUGGCCCUUCUCCUUCCCGUCGGCCAAGCGGAGCCGCUCGUGUCGCUGCUCUACCUGACGAGGGCGUCGUGGUGAGGUUGCCGUUGCUGUUUGUAGAGACAUUUGAGGAUAGGUCACGUUGCUUCAUCGUGCAGGUACUGGCCGGGCUUGGCAUGGAUUGGUGUCCCGGGCGUUGGUUGCAGGUUUCUUGCCUAUUCAGGUAGGCCGGUCACCUCCACCAUGACAAGAAGAGAGUAAGGGUAGGCGCAAACAUCUGCCGGAUAGGACACCAUGUGUAGAGAGAGUUGGCUCGCUGGAGCAUACUCUUCGGAGACAAGUUGGGAGACCAUGUAGUUGAGCCUGCAUAUAUAGGUUUAACAUUUGACUUGAUUCAUGAGUGUGGAAAGCGACGACACAGUGUCGACUCAAGUGAUGGGGAAAGUGGACCCACAAGCCGCUGGUUGGACAAAUAGUGAGGCCAUGGAGCAAACAUGUGGUGGCAUAUUCAACUUUAAACACGGUCUAUGCGACAUGACACCUUGUCCCAGUAGGGUCGGCACACUCCGCUCCACUAAAAUUACAGGAUCGGAUGCCGUGUCCGGGGAGAAUUGGUGCACUGGAGCAAACGAUUCAGGGGUGUGCAGAUAAGUUGGGUGAGCACGCUACUAUUGGGCUAACAUUGGAUUCCGUGGGAAAAAAAUAAAGACUUUUACAAUCUUUAUUCACGGAAGCAUGGUUUCGGCAUCAGAUAUGGGAAAAGUAGGCUUGACAUUGAGAAGGCGAAGUGUAUGCAGGAAGAUGUCUACGGAUGCUCUGGGAAGCCAAUGUAGUGGCUGAACAAGACUGGGAUCAUGUUUACGAUACAUUUUCCAUCGAUACAGAGGGCAGUGCUUACAAAAAGAGGAGGCAAGCUGAAGAGGAAGGUUGGAAGAAGGAGAGCAACCGUGCGUAGUUCUGACUGCCUCUUCCACCUGUCGCUAAGUGUCAUAGGCAAGAGGACCAAGUGCGGGCGGGUGAGCAUCAGGAGUCUAGCUGGUCGGCUUCAGCCUUUGAGGUGUUGUAGGCUAGCGGUGCCGCUUCCGAGCAUCUCCUCACCCCUUGCUCCUGUGGCCCCUUCAAUAGAAGUAGAUCUUUGAGCUGUUGGUGUCGAUGGUUUCUAUGAAAGCAAAUAAUAGGAAAAGUUGCAUUUUCAUGUCCUAUCCAGAUGGUUAGUUCUCUGAUGACAUGCUUUAAGUAUGGUCUGUGCUCUCUUCCUCCAUCCCAUGUAUGUGAUUGAUGUCGCCCUUUGAUUGUUUGGUGUUGGAGUCUCUCUGUAUAAUCACAGUGCCUCUUUGCUUAAUCUGCUGACGUAUGCUAUUUACAGUUCCUUCCCCAGCUCCUAACGGAUCUUUAGAGUUACUAUUUAUUAGUAUUUUGUGCUACAACAUAAUUAGUGCCCGACAAACCCUGUUUACCUUCUUAUCUCACUAUUGUCUGUUGUCAUCCUUUUAUGCAUUAUAACCCAGCUUGAUAUAUUCGCUGCAACAUAAUAUUCCCCUUGGGUUAUUGAAUCGUUUUGCUCUAUACAUCCCAAAAAAACACAGACUAUUUGCAUUACAUGGUUUUGCUACCUCUUAUGAAAUUGCAUUCGCUGUGUUAUGCGGAAAACUUACUUCGGCCACUCUUAUGAGUGUAUAUUUUCAGUUUCAGGUUUUUCUUUGUAUUACUCCUAGGAAAACUCGCUGAAUUUUUCCCUGUGAGCCUGGCACAUUGUUUAAUAACUGGUAUAGCUUCAUAACUGUUAUACCCUUCUGAUCUUUUCCUUUUCUUAUGUCAGCUAACCAGUGAGGAUAUAUAUAAAAAGGAUACCACCAAUAGCAUAGCGCCCUGCUGCUGUAAUUACAUGUAUGUAUAAAUUCUAUGGUAACUUUAGGUUCUUCCCUUAUGGCCUUUCCUCUAAUCAUAAGAGGUACAAAGGAGAUGCAUUUUAUGAAACUGGAAUAUUUUAGUUCUCCUGCUGGUGUCCGUGCUUUUUUUAAUCUCACAUGGCUUACUUGCUAUCUAAGUGUUCUCAUUAAACUUUCUCUAUAGAAAGCUUGCUAAAGUUGUAACCGAACAAAAGCAAGGCUCUCUUGACACACUAUCUUUACACACAGAGAGAAGCUAGACUCCCAACCUAGCAUGCUCCCUAUAAUUACAACCGAACAGAAGCAAGGCUCACCCACAUAUCAUGACUCAUUAUAUAGUUCAUUUGUUUGAAUACAAAUCUAGAAUUUUGUAAACCAUUGUGAUAGCUAGAGCAUAGUCAAGGCGUUGGUGUGUCACUAUGUGUAUUGAUAAAUGAAGAAAAAAAAUUCUAACUGGUCGGUGGAGGCAAGACAGAGGUGAGAAGUUGGGUAUGUCGUGCUGCAACUAGCUGCUUAAUUCAUUUCUGAUACAUCAUGGUUUGUCAUUUUUCGUUGCAGGCACCAGUUUCAUAUAAUUAUAGUUGCAACUAAUAAGAUCAUUGAUUUUAACGAGGUCCAUAAGAUAAUAAUGUCUCUAUUGAGAUGCGCAAUGAAACAUCGAAGGACCCUAUCCUUUUGUUUGUGGAUGCACGAAGUAAUGAUGUGUGGCUAUGGGGGCGUCUCUUUGGAUGUUCUAAGGCAGUUUCCCGUGUCUCUGCUAGCUCCGAUUCUGUUGCACCAUAUUGUCCGACAUUUAUUUAUUUAUGUGUUUGACCCAUGUGGUUAGUUAAUGUUGUGAUGUUGUCGAAGGACAAGCAGAUGUUGCAGUCUGUAUGCUACCCUAUGUACCCUCUUCGUCAUGGACAGUGCUGAGGAUUAAUACAGACUUAUAUGUAAUUGGCCGGUGCUUGCUUUACUUAAGAUGUCCGCUGUUCUAUUUC